rnacentral:rRNA from 1 species
UGGGGAAUUUUGGACAAUGGGCGAAAGCCUGAUCCAGCAAUGCCGCGUGUGUGAAGAAGGCCUUCGGGUUGUAAAGCACUUUUGUCCGGAAAGAAAUCCUUGGCUCUAAUACAGUCGGGGGAUGACGGUACCGGAAGAAUAAGCACCGGCUAACUACGUGCCAGCAGCCGCGGUAAUACGUAGGGUGCAAGCGUUAAUCGGAAUUACUGGGCGUAAAGCGUGCGCAGGCGGUUUGCUAAGACCGAUGUGAAAUCCCCGGGCUCAACCUGGGAACUGCAUUGGUGACUGGCAGGCUAGAGUAUGGCAGAGGGGGGUAGAAUUCCACGUGUAGCAGUGAAAUGCGUAGAGAUGUGGAGGAAUACCGAUGGCGAAGGCAGCCCCCUGGGCCAAUACUGACGCUCAUGCACGAAAGCGUGGGGAGCAAACAGGAUUAGAUACCCUGGUAGUCCACGCCCUAAACGAUGUCAACUAGUUGUUGGGGACUUCAUUUCCUUAGUAACGUAGCUAACGCGUGAAGUUGACCGCCUGGGGAGUACGGUCGCAAGAUUAAAACUCAAAUGAAUUGACGGGGUCAUAGCUGC